UACGGGGGGGGCAAGCGUUGUUCGGAAUUACUGGGCGUAAAGGGCUCGUAGGCGGCCAACUAAGUCCGACGUGAAAUCCCCAGGCUUAACCUGGGAACUGCGUCGGAUACUGGUUGGCUUGAAUCCGGGAGAGGGAUGCGGAAUUCCAGGUGUAGCGGUGAAAUGCGUAGAUAUCUGGAGGAACACCGGUGGCGAAGGCGGCAUCCUGGACCGGCACUGACGCUCAUGCACGAAAGCGUGGGGAGCAAACAGG
rnacentral:rRNA from 1 species